UACGAAGGGGGCUAGCGUUGCUCGGAAUCACUGGGCGUAAAGGGCGCGUAGGCGGCGUUUUUAAGUCGGGGGUGAAAGCCUGUGGCUCAACCACAGAAUGGCCUUCGAUACUGGGACGCUUGAGUAUGGUAGAGGUUGGUGGAACUGCGAGUGUAGAGGUGAAAUUCGUAGAUAUUCGCAAGAACACCGGUGGCGAAGGCGGCCAACUGGACCAUCACUGACGCUGAGGCGCGAAAGCGUGGGGAGCAAACAGG
rnacentral:rRNA from 1 species